rnacentral:lncRNA from 1 species
CCUUGCGAAUCUCUGAGAAGUCCCCACUGGGGCUCUGUCCAAUCCCACAAUUCCCAAACUCUGGUACUGAGUCACAGCAGCUGUUGCCUGCGCGGUUCACUCCUGCACACCUGCCCACAAGCAUCCAAGCCCAUACCCACUAUUGGCUUGAGGCCUGACUGUGCUUACCAUGUCAUCUUCCUGGGCAGCUUUUCUGUGCACGGAUCCAUCGAUAAGGAAACUGAGAUGCUUAAAGGCUAAGUGACCUUGCAUGAACUCCAAGGAUUGGUUGGUUGCAGCACCUGACAAAACACUUGAAGUACCCAGAGUCCUUGACCAGACCUUCCCUUCAGCCAGGAGGCUUCAGCCUAAAGAACAGCGUUCUCCACCUCUUGCGGGGACAGUCCAGAUUGGAGAGACCAGCUUCCAGAUAUCCUAACAGUCAGAAGUGGAUUGAAAAGAAACAAUCAUAGGAAAAGGAACAAAGAAAGCAUUAAAAAUUAUAACAUUCAACUUUAUAGAACUCUGCAUGUUUGUGAAGGUGUACAUGAACAUUGUUCUUCAUUAUUCUUCAAUGACAUGGCAAGAUAGAACUUCAAAACAAAUCAUAUUGUAUAGACAGGGCAGUAAAGGGAACAAAUACAGGGCUUUCUCUGAAUACCAGUGAGUUAGUAGGUGAACAGAUACGAAACAAGAACACUUAGAACAAGAACACACUUAAAACGGUAUGGGGUCAAUUUUUUAUGUCCUGCUGGAUUUUGAAUCUGUAUUAUUUAAUUUGAAAAACUUUUUGUGGGUGCAAAUUAGGCCCUAUGUUCUAGUUAGAGCCUAUGGUACCUAUUUUAGUUAAUGUGUUAACACUCCACAAUGCAUCCAAGAAACAGACAAAUGUCACCAGAAAGAAAUCUUCUAUGUAGAAUUAAUAGUAUAUAAAAAACCUGGUAUACGUUUUUAAGGUGGAAGUUACAAUAUUCCUGUGGUUAAAGAAGGUAAGUUUCAUUAAGAAAACUAUCUGAGGUCAAUGGAUUCAAGAGUCUUUGCCUCUAGAAAGAUAUUCUUUGUUCUCUCCAAAUACCCCUGUUAGCAGUCCUUUUCUUUCCGAACCCCUAGUGUGUUUUAUAAAUCAAUAUUUCUGGAUACAUGUAACAUUUCAUUUCCCCUGUUUCUUACAUAUCUGCCUCCUUGCAUCUAGAGGAGGCAUCAGAUCAUAUUUGACUAUCUGUGGUACACUUUAGAGUAUCCAACAUCUUGUAAGCAAUAAAUACUGUUGAUUAUUUACUAGAUCUUAAAAA